rnacentral:ncRNA from 2 species
UUUAUUAAAAAGGGGAGCUGGGGCAACCUGGCUGAGAUAGAACAUAAUGCUGUUCUGACCCUUAACCUGAUCUGGAUAAUGCCAGCGUAGGGAAAUAGCAAAGGUAUUUU